rnacentral:misc_RNA from 1 species
UCAAUUCAAAACUUAAAUGCUAAUUCAAGGAUGACUUUUUAAAAAAAUGAUUACAUAAAAUUAUUUCAAGAACUAAGAACCAAACCCGAACCGUACCGAACUGAACCGGAACUGAAGAACCGAGAACCGAGAACCGUACUAAACCGGAACUAAAAUAAUGAAGAACCAAAUUAGAAUCAUGCCGAAAUUUCGGUUCUGUUUGGUUCCUAGGCAGACCCGAACUGAACCGAAAUUGAACACGCCUAGUAUUUAUUUAUGCCUAAAUUAUAAGGAUGUAAAUAAUUUAGCCUAAGGUCUAAGCCAAGAGCACAGUUAUUAAAGGUGUGCCUUAGACACGCCUCAGGCUCCAGGCUCACUAGGCU